AUUGAACGCUGGCGGCAGGCCUAACACAUGCAAGUCGAGCGAGCGGCGGACGGGUGAGUAAUGUCUGGGAAACUGCCUGAUGGAGGGGGAUAACUACUGGAAACGGUAGCUAAUACCGCAUACCAUCAGAUGUGCCCAGAUGGGAUUAGCUAGUAGGUGGGGUAAUGGCUCACCUAGGCGACGACCCCUAGCUGGUCUGAGAGGAUGACCAGCCAAACGGGAACGGAGAACCGGUCCAGACCCCUACGGGUGGCAGCAGGGGGGAAUAUUGAACAAGGGGCGCAAGCCGGAUGCAGCCAUGCCGCGGGUAUGAAGAAGGCCUUCGGGUUGUAAAGUACUUUCAGCGGGGAGGCGUUACCCGCAGAAGAAGCACCGGCUAACUCCGGGCCAGCAGCCGCGGUAAUUC
rnacentral:rRNA from 1 species